CACAUGCAAGUCGAACGAUGAAGCCUAGCUUGCUAGGUGGAUUAGUGGCGGACGGGUGAGUAAUAUAUCGGAACGUAUCCAAUAAUGGGGGACAACUAGCCGAAAGGUUAGCUAAUACCGCAUACGCCCUGAGGGGGAAAGCUGGGGAUCUUCGGACCUGGCGUUAUUGGAGCGGCCGAUAUCUGAUUAGCUAGAUGGUGGGGUAAUGGCCUACCAUGGCGACGAUCAGUAGCUGGUCUGAGAGGACGACCAGCCACACUGGGACUGAGACACGGCCCAGACUCCUACGGGAGGCAGCAGUGGGGAAUUUUGGACAAUGGGGGCAACCCUGAUCCAGCCAUUCCGCGUGAGUGAAGAAGGCCUUCGGGUUGUAAAGCUCUUUCACAAGAGAAGAAACGGCAUAGGUUAAUAGCUUAUGUUAAUGACGGUACCUUGAGAAGAAGCACCGGCUAACUACGUGCCAGCAGCCGCGGUAAUACGUAGGGUGCGAGCGUUAAUCGGAAUUACUGGGCGUAAA
rnacentral:rRNA from 1 species